AGGGUUCGAUUCUGGCUCAGGAUGAACGCUGGCGGCGUGCUUAACACAUGCAAGUCGAACGGGAUCCAUCAGGCUUUGCUUGGUGGUGAGAGUGGCGAACGGGUGAGUAAUGCGUGACCGACCUGCCCCAUACACCGGAAUAGCUCCUGGAAACGGGUGGUAAUGCCGGAUGCUCCAGUUGAUCGCAUGGUCUUCUGGGAAAGCUUUCGCGGUAUGGGAUGGGGUCGCGUCCUAUCAGCUUGACGGCGGGGUAACGGCCCACCGUGGCUUCGACGGGUAGCCGGCCUGAGAGGGCGACCGGCCACAUUGGGACUGAGAUACGGCCCAGACUCCUACGGGAGGCAGCAGUGGGGAAUAUUGCACAAUGGGCGCAAGCCUGAUGCAGCGACGCCGCGUGAGGGAUGGAGGCCUUCGGGUUGUAAACCUCUUUUAUCGGGGAGCAAGCGUGAGUGAGUUUACCCGUUGAAUAAGCACCGGCUAACUACGUGCCAGCAGCCGCGGUAAUACGUAGGGUGCAAGCGUUAUCCGGAAUUAUUGGGCGUAAAGGGCUCGUAGGCGGUUCGUCGCGUCCGGUGUGAAAGUCCAUCGCUUAACGGUGGAUCCGCGCCGGGUACGGGCGGGCUUGAGUGCGGUAGGGGAGACUGGAAUUCCCGGUGUAACGGUGGAAUGUGUAGAUAUCGGGAAGAACACCAAUGGCGAAGGCAGGUCUCUGGGCCGUUACUGACGCUGAGGAGCGAAAGCGUGGGGAGCGAACAGGAUUAGAUACCCUGGUAGUCCACGCCGUAAACGGUGGAUGCUGGAUGUGGGGCCCGUUCCACGGGUUCCGUGUCGGAGCUAACGCGUUAAGCAUCCCGCCUGGGGAGUACGGCCGCAAGGCUAAAACUCAAAGAAAUUGACGGGGGCCCGCACAAGCGGCGGAGCAUGCGGAUUAAUUCGAUGCAACGCGAAGAACCUUACCUGGGCUUGACAUGUUCCCGACGGUCGUAGAGAUACGGCUUCCCUUCGGGGCGGGUUCACAGGUGGUGCAUGGUCGUCGUCAGCUCGU
rnacentral:rRNA from 1 species